rnacentral:misc_RNA from 1 species
AAAGUCGUAACAAGGUUUCCGUAGGUGAACCUGCGGAAGGAUCAUUAAUGAACUUGUGGUUGUUGCUGGCUAGUGUCUCUAGCAUGUGCACACGCACCUUCAUCCCAUUUACACCUGUGCACCUUUUGUAGUAGAGUUCUGAAAGGGGGGUUUUUUUUUACCUUCUCUGAUUUACUACUACGUUUUUUAUACACACACAACUAGUCAUUGAAUGUUAUUUGAUUUUAUAUUGAAAAAAACAACUUUCAACAACGGAUCUCUUGGCUCUC